AGCUUUGCGUAGUGGCAGAAUCAUAGCCAAUGAAGUUAAUCUGAGGUAUGAUUAUUGCUAGUUGAAAACUUUUAUAGCACUUCAUAUGUUCAGAGCAGAGCUUGCAUUGAUCUUAAUUGCAGUUCAGCACUUUGUCUCAGACGCCACGUGU
rnacentral:snRNA from 1 species